UACGUAGGGUGCGAGCGUUAAUCGGAAUUACUGGGCGUAAAGCGUGCGCAGGCGGUUUUGUAAGCCAGAUGUGAAAGCCCCGGGCUUAACCUGGGAACUGCAUUUGGGACUGCAAGGCUGGAGUACGGCAGAGGGAGGUGGAAUUCCAGGUGUAGCAGUGAAAUGCGUAGAGAUCUGGAGGAACACCGAUGGCGAAGGCAGCCCCCUGGGCUAACACUGACGCUCAUGCACGAAAGCGUGGGGAGCAAACAGG
rnacentral:rRNA from 1 species